UACGUAGGGCGCAAGCGUUGUCCGGAAUUAUUGGGCGUAAAGAGCUCGUAGGCGGCUUGUCACGUCGGUUGUGAAAGCCCGGGGCUUAACCCCGGGUCUGCAGUGGAUACGGGCAGGCUAGAGUGUGGUAGGGGAGAUCGGAAUUCCUGGUGUAGCGGUGAAAUGUGCAGAUAUCAGGAGGAACACCGGUGGCGAAGGCGGAUCUCUGGGCCAUUACUGACGCUGAGGAGCGAAAGCGUGGGGAGCGAACAGG
rnacentral:rRNA from 1 species